rnacentral:rRNA from 1 species
GGGAUUAGGGUUUGAUUCUGGCUCAGGAUGAACGCUAGCGGCAGGCUUAACACAUGCAAGUCGAGGGGUAACAGGAGUAGCUUGCUACUUGCUGACGACCGGCGCACGGGUGCGUAACGCGUAUAGAAUCUACCUUGUACUAGGGGAUAGCCUUUGGAAACGAAGAUUAAUACCCUAUAGUAAGUAUUUAUGGCAUCAUUAAUACUUUAAAGGUUACGGUACAAGAUGACUAUGCGUCCUAUUAGUUUGUUGGUGAGGUAACGGCUCACCAAGACUUCGAUAGGUAGGGGCCCUGAGAGGGGGAUCCCCCACACUGGUACUGAGACACGGACCAGACUCCUACGGGAGGCAGCAGUGAGGAAUAUUGGACAAUGGAGGCAACUCUGAUCCAGCCAUGCCGCGUGCAGGAUGACGGCCCUAUGGGUUGUAAACUGCUUUUAUGUAGGAAGAAACACUCUCACGUGUGAGAGCUUGACGGUACUACAAGAAUAAGGACCGGCUAACUCCGUGC